rnacentral:rRNA from 1 species
GACGAACGCUGGCGGCGUGCCUAAUACAUGCAAGUCGAGCGGACAGAUGGGAGCUUGCUCCCUGAUGUCAGCGGCGGACGGGUGAGUAACACGUGGGUAACCUGCCUGUAAGACUGGGAUAACUCCGGGAAACCGGGGCUAAUACCGGAUGCUUGUUUGAACCGCAUGGUUCAAACAUAAAAGGUGGCUUCGGCUACCACUUACAGAUGGACCCGCGGCGCAUUAGCUAGUUGGUGAGGUAACGGCUCACCAAGGCGACGAUGCGUAGCCGACCUGAGAGGGUGAUCGGCCACACUGGGACUGAGACACGGCCCAGACUCCUACGGGAGGCAGCAGUAGGGAAUCUUCCGCAAUGGACGAAAGUCUGACGGAGCAACGCCGCGUGAGUGAUGAAGGUUUUCGGAUCGUAAAGCUCUGUUGUUAGGGAAGAACAAGUGCCGUUCAAAUAGGGCGGCACCUUGACGGUACCUAACCAGAAAGCCACGGCUAACUACGUGCCAGCAGCCGCGGUAAUACGUAGGUGGCAAGCGUUGUCCGGAAUUAUUGGGCGUAAAGGGCUCGCAGGCGGUUUCUUAAGUCUGAUGUGAAAGCCCCCGGCUCAACCGGGGAGGGUCAUUGGAAACUGGGGAACUUGAGUGCAGAAGAGGAGAGUGGAAUUCCACGUGUAGCGGUGAAAUGCGUAGAGAUGUGGAGGAACACCAGUGGCGAAGGCGACUCUCUGGUCUGUAACUGACGCUGAGGAGCGAAAGCGUGGGGAGCGAACAGGAUUAGAUACCCUGGUAGUCCACGCCGUAAACGAUGAGUGCUAAGUGUUAGGGGGUUUCCGCCCCUUAGUGCUGCAGCUAACGCAUUAAGCAUUCCGCCUGGGGAGUACGGUCGCAAGACUGAAACUCAAAGGAAUUGACGGGGGCCCGCACAAGCGGUGGAGCAUGUGGUUUAAUCCGAAGCAACGCGAAGAACCUUACCAGGUCUUGACAUCCUCUGACAAUCCUAGAGAUAGGACGUCCCCUUCGGGGGCAGAGUGACAGGUGGUGCAUGGUUGUCGUCAGCUCGUGUCGUGAGAUGUUGGGUUAAGUCCCGCAACGAGCGCAACCCUUGAUCUUAGUUGCCAGCAUUCAGUUGGGCACUCUAAGGUGACUGCCGGUGACAAACCGGAGGAAGGUGGGGAUGACGUCAAAUCAUCAUGCCCCUUAUGACCUGGGCUACACACGUGCUACAAUGGGCAGAACAAAGGGCAGCGAAACCGCGAGGUUAAGCCAAUCCCACAAAUCUGUUCUCAGUUCGGAUCGCAGUCUGCAACUCGACUGCGUGAAGCUGGAAUCGCUAGUAAUCGCGGAUCAGCAUGCCGCGGUGAAUACGUUCCCGGGCCUUGUACACACCGCCCGUCACACCACGAGAGUUUGUAACACCCGAAGUCGGUGAGGUAACCUUUUUGGAGCCAGCCGCCGAAGGUGGGACAGAUGAUUGGGGUGAAG